UAAGAAUUCUAGUUUGGGAAAUAGAUUUAGGAGAGAUUUUUUUUGGGAAUUACUUCUCUAAAAAAAGUCAUGAAAAUCAGCGCAAUGGAUAAGAACGAAUGAAUCAAAUCUAACAAUCAUGUCAACUCCAUGAAUAAACCAAUAACCAACACUUCCUCCAUGUAUCUUUCUAUACAAUAGACAAUUCGAUAUGGUAAUUCUAUAUUCGGUAAGUUCAUCCAUUGACUUAGAUUUAUAGGAACUCGCAAUCAUAUCCCAGAUCUUACAUUCCAUUUCUCAUCAUUUGUUCAGAUUCAUUUCUGUUUCAUUUCCAAUUUCCCUGUUCCUGUCAACCAAACAAGGCAUGACUUUAGAAGGCAAGAUAUCUUCCCCAAAAGAAGGGAAGAAACUCCAAAGGAAACGUCCAUCCUUAGUAUGUCUUUUAUCGGACAUCCCCAGUUUCUCUCUGUUUGGUAGAUUCAUCCCAUCUCUCUCUCUCUCUCUCUCUCUCUCUCUCUCUCUCUCUAUUGGUUUUGUUCCUGGAUCUUUCUUUCCAAUCUUUGGGACCUCAGGGUAGAUAUCUCCAAUUAAAUGUACUUGCCAUGUUAGAUUUGCUGUAUAUACUACUGGUUCAUGCAUGUCAAUCCACCAGAGUUGGACAAUUUACUAAUAGACAAUGUAAUAACAACAUUUCCGAGUUUGGAGUUUGCUUUCAUUUCUAUUUUUCAGGAUAUCUUAUUUUGGCUACGACACAAACCGCGCCGUCGGCAACAAAAAGGAAAAAAAUAACAGAUGCAAACACGUCAAGAUCGUCGAGAUUUAAUUAACUGAUUUUUCUUAGCGACAGACACCAAUUUGUUUGUCUUUAGUUUUAUUUUUCCAGUAAUGAAAGCACGCCAAAAUACUCAUCCAUUCUUCCGUAAUUGUCCCGGCCCUUUUCCUUAAAGCCGCUCGACCUCUCUCGCUCGCACCACCGCUAAAAUUCCUAGAAUCCGAAACCUCUCUCUUUUGCACUGGGUUAACCUAUCUUGUCGCACAUCGCUCGCCUUUCUUCAUCUCCCUCUCUUUUCGUUCCUGACAUACAGUCGUGUCUCUCAGGUCAUAAAAGCAUUCCGACCUCAAAUCGCAUAACCGUUCUUGACCCCAUCAUGGACAGACGUGGAAACCGAUGUAGAGAAUGCAAUCGGUAUCGGAAGAGGGGAGCGAGAAACCAGAAUAGAGAUCGGCGUUAUUGCCACCACGACUAUGAACAAGACCACUGACGUGCAACGGGUGGUCAUGGAGAGGAGAGAAGCACUUCCUGAGAAUCUCAUUGUAGAGAUAGGAGCCGGUCACCUCCUGAUAUGGACGCUCGUCAUUCUGGAUAUGAUGUCUCACAGUAUCCAGAGCCCGAGCCUAUAACUGGUGCAUAACGGCUGCAUUUGAAUUUUGGCCGGUGUUUUGAUAGUUAAACGUUCAGAAGUCGCAGCAAUAAAAAGAAGGUCAGAGGUUUCAUUGUUUUUUUCUGGAUACUAAUCUACACAAUGGUGCAUAGCUGCUGAUAUUUUAUAUUUUCAAUUUAUCAGUUUUACAGCCCUCAAACUAAAAAAUUCAUAAAGAAAAGUAUACGAAGAUUAUAAGUAAACGACAUAGGGUACUUCUCUUAACAAAUUUCUGGACUGUCACUGUCCAGUCGGAGUUUAACCUAGUGCCAGAGUUUAAUCGGGUUUUCCCAGGAAAUGGGGAUAAGAUUUGCCCCAUCAGACGACCUGAUAAACGUGGCUCGUUGGCUUAAUCUGGUUUCCCCAGGAAAUGGGGAGAAUGAAGACGCCAUUGAACUAGGAGAAUGCUUUAUCACCGCACUGUAAAACAACAGCUAAACUUGCGUUCAUCCCAGAGGACAUGGUAAUGGGUCGGCUUGCUCGUCCGGAGACCGCCAAAGUGGCUGCACGAAUAGAAGUCAAAUUCAAAGGGAUGCACAACUGUUGUUUCCACUGUCCCUGGUGGCACAUUCUAUAUAGGACCCCGUCGACGUCUAUCUCUAGGAAAAGAUGAGUUUGGUGGCGCUUCCGCACCACGACGAUCGUUUAUGCCAUUUAUUUUUUAGGUGGCCGACGUCCCUUCUAGACAUGACACAAGAAGAAUAGAGGACGCCAACUCCCGACUCUGCAAGGGCAGUUAUUGACAUCCUCCAGUAGCUUAGUCAAUCUAGCCACAUUUGAGAACAUGCUCAUCAUGGCAUCUUGAUAAAAGAGGAUUAAUCUAGUUUUCCUAGGAAAUGAGGAUAAGAUUUUCCCCAUCACGCCUUGAUAAAGGUGGCUCGUUGGCUGCUCGGCACAUCAGGCUUCUUGUCAACAACUUUCCCAUCACUUUCAAUCCUGAAACCAUCAUAUGACAAUACAAUGUCGAAGGCAAUACAAUGUUGACAUCAAGCCCAAGGAGCCCGCGAGGCACUUUUGAGAUAGAGUGGCUUUUGAUAGCCUCACGGGAUGGCCGUGCCUCGUGGGCGUCUCGGGCUUGAUGUUGACAUUGUAGUGCCUUAUGAUGGUUUAAACAUUGAAAGUGAUGGGAAAGUUGUCGACAAGAAGCCUGAUGUGCUGAGCAGCCAACGAGCCACUUUUAUCAAGGCAUGACAGGGCAAAUCUUAUCCCCAUUUCCUAGGGAAACUAGAUUAAAUUCUCUUUUAUCAAGAUGCCAUGAUGAGCAUGUUCUCAAAUGUGACUAAAAUGACUGAGCUGCUAGAGGAUGUCAAUAACCGCGAUUGCAGAGUCGGGAGAUGGCAUCCUCCAUUCCUUCUUUGUGUCAUGUCUAGAAGGGACAUCGGCCACCUGAAAAAUAAAAUGGCAUAAACGAUCGUCGUGGCGUGGAAGCGCCACCAAACUCAUCUUUUCCUUGAGAUAGACCUCGACUACGGUCCUAUAGAGAAUGUGCCACCAGGGAGAGUGGACACAACAGUUGCGCAUCCCUUUGAAUUUGACUUCUAUCCGUGCAGCCACUAUGGCAGCCUCAGGACGAGCAAGCCGACCCAUUACCAUGUCCUCUGGGAUGAACACAAGUUUAGCUGUUGUAUCACGAAGCGGUGAUGUAGCAUUCUCCCAGUUCAAUGGUGUCUUCAUUCUCCUCAAUGGCAUCCUUGUUGUUCUCAUCGAUUGGUUCAAAUGAAGAGCGAUUCUGCAAGCUGCACGCUGAUGUAGAGAACAUGAUGUUCUUCAUUCUAAGGCCACAGGCUCCGGUGUCUAGAAGCAGUCCCGAGGAAAUUCCAUCUUCUCCAUCUAAAGAAAACGCGUAGGAGACUUUCUGGGUGUUGCCAUUGCCUCCCCGCCAGAAAAGAAGUUCAAAGACGGUGAAAGCCUAGUGGAGCAAUGUUAGCAUGACUGAGCAAUCGAUAAUGGCUCAGUCAGGCUGACAUUGCUCGAUUGCUCCAUCGGCCUUUCGCCCGUUGAAAGAAGGCCAACCCUUAAUGAACUUCUUUUCUGGAGGAGAAGCAGUGGCAACACCAGAAAGUCUCCUAUACAUUCUUUUACAUGGAGAAGAUAGAAUGUCCUCAGGACCUCUAGACACGAGCCUAAGACCUUAAAGUGAAGACAGAAUGUCAUCAAGAAUUCUAGUCAAUUUAUUCAGGAUUCUUAGCGAUUCA